GACGAACGCUGGCGGCGUGCUUAACAUAUGCAAGUCGAACGAUGAAGCCGGAGCUUGCUCUGGUGAAUUAGUGGCGAACGGGUGAGUAACACGUGAGUAACCUGCCCUUGACUCUGGGAUAACUGCGGGAAACUGUAGCUAAUACCGGAUACGACCCUCGGAGGCAUCUCCUGGGGGUGGAAAGAAUUUCGGUCAAGGAUGGACUCGCGGCCUAUCAGCUAGUUGGUGAGGUAAAGGCUCACCAAGGCGACGACGGGUAGCCGGCCUGAGAGGGUGACCGGCCACACUGGGACUGAGACACGGCCCAGACUCCUACGGGAGGCAGCAGUGGGGAAUAUUGCACAAUGGGCGCAAGCCUGAUGCAGCAACGCCGCGUGAGGGAUGACGGCCUUCGGGUUGUAAACCUCUUUUAGCAGGGAAGAAGCGAAAGUGACGGUACCUGCAGAAAAAGCACCGGCUAACUAUGUGCCAGCCGCCGCAGUAA
rnacentral:rRNA from 1 species